rnacentral:rRNA from 1 species
UACAGAGGUCCCGAGCGUUGUUCGGAUUCACUGGGCGUAAAGGGUGCGUAGGUGGCUGGGAAAGUUUGAUGUGAAAGCUCAGGGCUUAACCCUGAAAUGGCAUUGAAUACUACUUAGCUGGAGGUUGGAGGGGGGACUGGAAUUCCUGGUGUAGCGUGAAAUGCGCAGAUAUCAGGAGGAACACCGAGUGGAGCGAAGGCCAGUCGCUGGA